GCUGCUGAAUUUUUGGCCUCCAUGCAGUUACUGAAGGCACGGAAAAUACGCCUGGAGCAAAACUGGAAAUGAUAUUCCACACCCAUUCAAAAUGAGUCUGGGAAAAAGUAGGGGGGACCCCAAGCCUCAAACUUUGCUUCAGGCCUACUUGCUGUCACUUCUCUCCAGCCUGGGGGGGGGGGGGAGUGAAAUCUAUGAUCUUUAUCAUCUGUGAAAUGUUGGCAUUCUGUGGUUGAAUGAAUAUAGCAGGUUAAACCGCUGAGCUGCUGAACUUGCUGACUGAAAGAUGGCGGUUUGAAUCCAGGAAGCGGGGCAGAUGGCGAACACCGCAGAGUCCUCCACUAGAAACAGACCAGCACAUGACAGAGAUGGAUGCUGGAAUAGUCAGAGAUGUGAGAACUACAGACAGCCAAAAUGUGACUUUCUGGAAAGGCACAGAAGACGAGAUUGAAAGAAAAUGUCAUCAAAUUCCUUGAUGGGAAAAGCAGGCUUUUUAUCCAGUGAAAAGGUGUCCGUCUUUAAUAUCCUUACUGGUCAAAUAUAGCUGUGCUUCAUAUUAAACAGAGUCCAAAUGCUGCUUUCAUGCAGGAGGUGCUGCUGGCAGGAAGCCAUAGAAAGACAGAAUGGGUUUGCUAACCUUACCUUUCAUCCUGUAAGGUAGUCUGCUGCCCUUAGGUGAUGUUUCUAGACCAUAGAAGGUACUGAAACACAUGUUAUCAAAGGUACUGGAUGAUACAGAACUGAUCAAAUACUCUGUCUCUGACCUGUGGCAGUAGCGGGGUGGAGUCCAACCACACUGAAACUGUUUUGGCACUGCUAGGCUGUCUUGUUGUGUUUAUUGCCACAGCAGCUGGCCAUAGAGCGAAGCUACCCAGCGAUAACCAAGAGAUCUCCACCCAGCUGAUGUGGCAAUAGCAAUCCCAAUCCAUCUUCUUUCUCUUGUGCUACUAGGUGCAUGGAAAAGGGAAUAGUGGUGCUGGCUCAUAUGGACAGUGGACUGGUUUGGAUUGCAGGCAGUUAUGUUGUCCACAUUCACCUUGAAGUACAGGGCUGCUCUAAACUUUGCCAUUUUGUCUUUUUCCCAUUCUUUGACUUUGUUUAGUGCUGGGUUAAACUGGGUUAGCCCAAUUUACCCAGAAUUAAGGACCAGAAAUCCCUAGAUAAGAUGGGACAGUCUUGGCUUCUGUCCUGAUGGUAGUUUCUUAUCCUGAGUAGAAGUUAUGCAACACCCAUUCCUUUAAAAUUAAUCCCAGAUUUUUCAUGAUCUACACAAUCAAAUAUUAUUUGCUAUAAUCUAUAAAUCAGAAACUUUUCCUGAAAUUCUUUUGUGUGUUCCAUUAUCUUGCAUAGGUUUGCAAUGUGAUCCUUAGUACCUCUUCGUUUCCUGAACACCCAGCUUAGACUUCUGGCAUUUCUAACUUCAUUUCUGGUUAAAGGUUACGUUGAAUAAUUUUAUUUUGCUUACAUAAGAAAUUAAUGUAAAGGUCCUACGGUUACUACAUUCACCAGUGUCCCCUUUCUUGAAAAUUGAAAUGUAUAUUGACUAUUUCCAAUCGGUGAGCCACUGCUUUGUUUAUUGUAUUUGUUGCCAGAUUUUAGUUAGCAUUAGAAUAUAUAUAAUAAAAUAAUAAAACUUUAUUUAUAUACCGCUCCAUCUCCUUGAGAGGACUCAGGACAGUUUCCAACAUGAACACAAAAAACAUUCAAUUGUCAGAAAACACCAUACAACAAAGUUAAACAUACCGUGUUUCCCCGAAAAUAAGACAGUGUCUUAUAUUAAUUUUUGCUCCCAAAGAUGCUCUAGGUCUUAUUUUCAAGGGAUGUCUUAUUUUUCCAUGAAGAAGAAUUCACAAUUAUUUUUGAACCAAAAAAAUGAACAUUUAUUAUAUACUGUACAGUAGUUGUCAUCACAAACCAGCAUAACCAGACAAACUGAAUCCUAUCAAGAAUUUCUUGUUACUACUGUUUCCAUGUACAAUACUCUAUGGUACGUACAUUUACGGAUCCUUUAUGCUCUGGAGUUCUGUUUGGCAGGCGCUGGGCAUGCUUCCAAACAAAACCUUUGCUAUGUCUUACUUUUGGGGGAGGACUUAUAUUUAGCAAUUCAGCAAAACUUCUACUAGGUCUUAUUUUCUGAAGAUGUCUUAUUUUAGGGGAAACAGAGUAGUAAACAUAAUAAACAACAUCGCAAGACAGAACCAAAACAAUUCUAUUAAAAACAGACACAACAUUACAAAUCCAAUAUAUUAUUUCUCUUAGCCAGUAUAUUCUUUCUCUUAGGGCCCUUCCACACAGCUAUAUAACCCAGAAUAUCAAGGCAGAAUAACCCACAAUAUCUGCUUUGAACUGGAUUAUUUGAGUCCACACUGCCAUAUAUCCCAGUUCAAAGCAGAUGAUGUGGGAUUUUAUUCAGCUGUGUGGAAGUGACCCCAGUCUAAAGCCACUCUCUUGGCAUACCAUCUCUUCCUAGUGAUUAAUUUCUUCCAAGGCUCCUUCCACACAGCUGUAUAAAAUCUACAUUGAACUGGAUUAUCUGGCAAUGUGGACUCAGAUAAUCCAGUUCAAAGCAGAUAUUGUGGAUUAUCAGCCUUGAUAUUCUGGUUUAUAUGGUUGUGUGGAAGGGCCCCAAGUGUCUUGAGUGCAGCUUCAAUUCCUAUUUCUAAAAAUAUAGGUUCAAAUACAAAAUGUUCUUCAUUGAAUAAAUCUGCCAUCCUUUCAACUCAUUUAUAUAAUCUAUCAGUAUAUUGUCUCCAUUAUCUUUUUAUUUUUUCUUGGUCAUGUAGUGUUUUUUUCUGGUCAUAGAGCACCCCUCAUCUUGGUUUAAAUUUCCCUUUGAUUCUCAGAUCCUGUAGAAGAAAUCUCAUGGGCUUCCUGUUUUGUUGUUAUCUUCUAUUUAUUUGCAUUGAUUAUUAUAGUAGUUCUCCUUGGCACUGUAUACAAGCAACGAACAAUUACAUUCAGGAUUCUGACUCUGUUAUUGUUGCCUUCAUACAUUGCUUCUUGUUUGUUCUUAACUGCUUGAAGAGUUACAUGUGUCCAUUGAUACAAAGUUGUGUUAAGGCUUCUCUUUCUUUUUGGAUUCAGAUAUUGUCUCUCUCUCUCCCCCCCC